ANUNACCNGGAUUCCCCUAGUAACGGCGAGUGAAGCGGGAAGAGCUCAAGCUUAAAAUCUCUAUGCAAGUUUUGCAUGGCGAAUUGUAGUCUAUAGAGGCGCUGUCAGUGCAGCUAUUUGGGAUAAGUUCCUUGGAAGAGGACAGCAUCGAGGGUGAUACUCCCGUUUGUGCCUGAGUAGCUUGUGCGUACGACACGUUUUCUUUGAGUCGCGUUGUUUGGGACUGCAGCGCAAAGUAGGUGGUAAAUUCCAUCUAAAGCUAAAUAUUGGUGCGAGACCGAUAGCGAACAAGUACCGUGAGGGAAAGAUGAAAAGAACUUUGAAAAGAGAGUUAAAGAGUACCUGAAACUGCUGAAAGGGAAGCGAAUCGUAUCCAGUGUCUAUAAUCUGUAGCAUAUUUCAUUGGCGAGUAGGUGCGUGCAGUAUGUAAGAAGUGGUUUUCUGCUCUUUGUGCUGUUCUGCGUUUGCUUGUUGGUGCCCUGUGUUGCGGUGGGACGUCAGAGUCAGUUCGUAUGCUGUGAGAAAUGGCUACUGAGGAGGUAGGUUAGGAGCUUGCUCUUGGCUGUUAUAUCUUGGUAGUUAGUUGUCGUGGUUGGGACUGAGGUGCCUACAAUGUGCUUUAAAGUGUUUGGGACUCUCGUUUGGUUACCUGUUUGGAUAGCUUGCUAUGCUGACGGAGUGAUUGGUCGAUUGAGAUCUAGAGUAACUUUUGCCGUUCGGGACUUUGACGAAAUGGAGCGAUUCGGCCCGUCUUGAAACACGGACCAAGGAGUCUAACAUGUGUGCAAGUGUUAGGGUGUGGAAACCCCAGCGCGAAAUGAAAGUAAAGGAUGGCGUACGCUGUCUGAGGUAGGAAACCUUUCUUCUGAGAGGUGGCACUAUCGACCGAUCAUGAACCCUCGUGGUGAAAGAUUUGAGUUUGAGCACAUAUGUUGGUACCCGAAAGAUGGUGAACUAUGCCUGAGUAGGGUGAAGCCAGGGGAAACUCUGGUGGAAGCUCGUAGCGAUUCUGACGUGCAAAUCGAUCGUCAANNUUGGGNNNAGGGGCGAAAGACUAAUCGAACNUCUAGUANCUGGUUCCNUCCAAUUUCCNCGGNNNCCCNACUU
rnacentral:rRNA from 1 species